rnacentral:piRNA from 1 species
UGAGAGUGCCAUAAAGCCAGGGUUUAGAAGC